GAUGAACGCUGGCGGCGUGCCUAAUACAUGCAAGUCGAGCGAACGGACGAGAAGCUUGCUUCUCUGAUGUUAGCGGCGGACGGGUGAGUAACACGUGGAUAACCUACCUAUAAGACUGGGAUAACUUCGGGAAACCGGAGCUAAUACCGGAUAAUAUUUUGAACCGCAUGGUUCAAAAGUGAAAGACGGUUUUGCUGUCACUUAUAGAUGGAUCCGCGCUGCAUUAGCUAGUUGGUAAGGUAACGGCUUACCAAGGCAACGAUGCCUAGCCGACCUGAGAGGGUGACUCGCCACACUGGAACCGAGACACGGUCCCGACUCCUACGGGAGGCAGCAGUAGGGAAUCUUCCGCAAUGGGCGAAAGCCUGACGGAGCAACGCCGCGUGAGUGAUGAAGGUCUUCGGAUCGUAAAACUCUGUUAUUAGGGAAGAACAUAUGUGUAAGUAACUGUGCACAUCUUGACGGUACCUAAUCAGAAAGCCACGGCUAACUACGUG
rnacentral:rRNA from 1 species